UAGGUGACUUUUGACCAAAUAGGUAAUAAAAUAAAAAUAGGAUGAUAUCAUCCCUUUUUCAUCUUCUCUCCACCGAUUUUUCCAGCCAAAAAAUGGGUUUUGAAAGCUUCAUAUUUUCAGCAACUUUGAGGCUUAGCAAGGUUUCCAGGUCUGUUCGGGUAGGAGUUCGUCGGAGAUAUUAUCACACUGUCAAGCUAACGCUAUUGGUGUAGUGAUUUCAAGUACUUUGAGUCUAUGGCAUGUAUAGGAGUUUAAAUAUUAGAGUAUGUGAUAUGGCUUUGACCAUAUGUGUUGGCCUAUUUUGAUUAUGGGAUAUAAAUUCAUUUUAAUUAUUUGAGAUUUCAUAGCCCUGUUUAGUAUAGAAGUGUUAGUAAAAGUUAGGUAGCACCUCGAACCCCGUCCCGGCGUCGGAUGCGGGCGAGAGGUGUUACAGUAUUUAAUAAAUUCCUCCAUUGUAAAUGGAGACAAAGCAUUGGGAACCCAUCAACUUUCUAAUACUCCACCUUAUUAGUCUUAAUAAUACUCUGUCGGGAAUCUCAAACCUUUCAACUA